GAGCAAUUCAUUAGUGAUGCUCAGGACGAAGGAAAAGCUCCUCAUCUUUAUGUGGAACUGGAUUUCAUUGAGGUAACAAGUAAGAAGGCAGCUCUUAUUGAAACCUACAGUCAGUUAAGGGAUAAAGUUGGUGAAACAGCAUCAAUAUCCUUAGAAAAGGGGGAAGUCCAUAGUGAUCAUUACAAAUUGCUGCCUGUAGAUUUGCGCAACAUAGAAAAUUUGAUUGAUAUUAUAGCCCGAGCAAAUUUAGACCCCAGUUUGCCAACAUUUAUAAUUGCAGAAUGCGUUCUUAUAUAUUUGGAUCCUGAUUCAAGCCGUGCUAUUGUUGGAUGGGCUUCAAGAACCUUUUCCACGUCAAUAUUUUUCUUGUAUGAGCAGAUCCACCCAGAUGAUGCUUUCGGUCAGCAAAUGAUUCGGAAUUUGGAGAGCCGAGGUUGCGGACUAUUAGGAAUAUAUGCUACACCAACUUUACAAGAGAAAGAAAAUCUUUUUCUUGAUCAAGGAUGGCAGAAAGCAGUUGCUUGGGA
rnacentral:misc_RNA from 1 species